rnacentral:misc_RNA from 1 species
CCAAUAGCGUAUAUUAAAGUUGUUGCAGUUAAAAAGCUCGUAGUUGAAUAUCGGGGUUCUUCCGUUGGUCAGGCUAACAAGUCUGUACUAGCGUGUAGAAUCUCUACCUUCUGGGGAACCAUCAUGUUAUUAAUUUAGCGUGGUGGGAAACCAGGACCUUUACCUUGAAAAAAUUAGAGUGUUCAAAGCAGGCUUACGUCUGAAUACAUUAGCAUGGAAUAAUAAAAUAGGACGGUGGUCCUGUUUUGUUGGUUUCUGAAUCACCGUAAUGAUUAAUAGGGAUAGUUGGGGGCAUUAGUAGUCAAUUGUCAGAGGUGAAAUUCUUGGAUUUAUUGAAGACUAACUUCUGCGAAAGCAUUUGCCAAGGAUGUUUUCAUUAAUCAAGAACGAAAGUUAGGGGAUCGAAGACGAUCAGAUACCGUCGUAGUCUUAACCAUAAACUAUGCCGACUAGGGAUCGGACGAUGUUAAAUUUUAUUGACUCGUUCGGCGCCUUACG